UACGUAGGGGGCUAGCGUUGUCCGGAAUCAUUGGGCGUAAAGCGCGUGUAGGCGGCCGGUAAGUCCGCUGUGAAAGUCGGGGCUCAACCCUCGGAUGCCGGUGGAUACUGUCGGGCUAGAGUACGGAAGAGGCGAGUGGAAUUCCGUGGUGUAGCGGUGAGAUGCGCAGAUAUCAGGAGGAACACCAAGUUGCGAAGGCAGCUCGCUGGGA
rnacentral:rRNA from 1 species